rnacentral:rRNA from 1 species
UUAAAAUGAGAGUUUGAUCCUGGCUCAGGACGAACGCUGGCGGCGUGCCUAAUACAUGCAAGUCGAACGAAACUUUCUUACACCGAAUGCUUGCAUUCACUGUAAGAAGUUGAGUGGCGGACGGGUGAGUAACACGUGGGUAACCUGCCUAAAAGAAGGGGAUAACACUUGGAAACAGGUGCUAAUACCGUAUAUCUCUAAGGAUCGCAUGAUCCUUAGAUGAAAGAUGGUUCUGCUAUCGCCUUUAGAUGGACCCGCGGCGUAUUAACUAGUUGGUGGGGUAACGGCCUACCAAGGUGAUGAUACGUAGCCGAAC